AUUGAACGCUGGCGGCAUGCCUUACACAUGCAAGUCGAACGGCAGCACGGAGCUUGCUCUGGUGGCGAGUGGCGAACGGGUGAGUAAUAUAUCGGAACGUACCCAAGAGUGGGGGAUAACGUAGCGAAAGUUACGCUAAUACCGCAUACGAUCUAAGGAUGAAAGUGGGGGCUCGCAAGACCUCAUGCUCCUGGAGCGGCCGAGAUCUGAUUAGCUAGUUGGUGAGGUAAAGGCUCACCAAGGCAUCGAUCAGUAGCUGGUCUGAGAGGACGACCAGCCGCACUGGAACUGAGACAGGGUCCAGACUCCUACGGGAGGCAGCAGUGGGGAAUUUUGGACAAUGGGGCAACCCUGAUCCAGCAAUGCCGCGUGAGUGAAGAAGGCCUUCGGGUUGUAAAGCUCUUUUGUCAGGGAAGAAACGGUGAAGGCUAAUAUCCUUUGCUAAUGACGGUACCUGAAGAAUAAGCACCGGCUAACUACGUGCCAGCAGCCGCCGUAACAC
rnacentral:rRNA from 1 species